ensembl:ncRNA lncRNA:CR44219 long non-coding RNA:CR44219
AGCGUAGAAUGAAUGGGUAUUCUGAGUAGACAAUUCGUGAUUGAAAAUAAAUUGUUUCCAAAAAAUGUUCAAAACGAAUCUGAAAGAAUCUUUUCUUGAAGAACACAAAUUGAAAGUUUGUAUUGAGGGUAACAUAUUGAUUCAGAAUGGUCACUAGUCGGAACUGAGAGCACUAAAGCUCAACCUCGAACUCAACGGGAACGUCCCAAACACAAAGCGAUUCUUUCUCUACCAAUCCAUCUAUCUGACACCACUGCCACUCCCACCUGCUCAACUCCAGCCGGUUAAAAAUGGACUUUCCCCGCUGUCAGUUUCAAUAACAUGAACCACCGACUGUCUGGGGCAAUAAAAAGCAGGAGCACCACCUGAAUCCCGGAGUGUCAUGUGCGUAGUCGCCCUGGUAGCAGUCCGACUGACAACUGAGGAGGAUGAGCACAUGCACUCAUCCAAUGACGCUUUUGACGCGGUUCCAUUUCCCAUUUUCCCGACUUGCGUCGCUUUAAUUAUUCAGUUUUGGAAUAUUUAAUGGGCCGAGGGACAGUCGUCAAAAUCAAGUUUAGAACCCAAGACAAUUGCCAUCGUCAUGUUUUUUAUGGGAAUUGAGAUCGAAUCAAAACAUUUGCGUAACAAUUUGGCAACAUGCUGAAUUUCCUUCUCUUUGGUUGUGGGAUGAUGAAACGGAUUCAGAUACAACCGAAGCUUCAGCUGCAGAUACAAUACGUAAUAAACCGACGCCUUUGCUUGCACGCUUUCC